GCUUGGACCAGCUAUAAGCAAGGAAAUGAGAAACAUAUGUUGGAGAGCAAGGUUAGGAGCGAGGGACUAUGGGUCAGUGACAGUCGUCCGAAAACUUUUCCCUUGUUCUUCAGCUGUGGCCCGAUGGUGUCAAAUGUCACUGUGACAGCCCUCAUUUCUCAUGACGGUCGGGCUUAUUUUGGCCUGGUUGGUUUUUGUUGUGUUUUUUUUUUUUCCCCUCCCCUAAUGGGAGUUAUUGAGAGGAAGAAGAGAACAGACAAGGCCGUGUUUUGCGACAGUGAUUCUGCACCACCAGGAGAAGCACAGCGAGCACCGGGACAACAACGGCGAAAGAAGGAACACGAUCGGAUUCCUUCUGCUGGGAUUUAGCAGAUAAGUGGAAAAGCUGAGUCUGAGAAACUGAAGAAACUGCCAGUAGCCCAGAGACCACAAUUUGAUGACAUUUCAUUCUUAAUCAGGUUAAAAAAAAAAUUGAAUUACGUUGAUUUAUUUUGCCUCUCUUUCAGGCUGUCCCACUCCAAAGCUACAUAGGAAGGUGGAUUAAAAUUUAAAAAAACACCGUGUUUUACAGAAGCUCGGCGUCUUACCAGUGCUGAUGGGCAACCUGAGAGCCGGGGGCUCCCAGCAGCCCCUGCAGGCUGACAGAGGCCGGUCCUCCCUCGGAGGUGAAGGGCAGGUGGGCCGUGAAGGAAAGCCGCCCCGUAGGGCUGCUCCGCCACCACCAACUCCAUCAUUCACUCACUGAUUUAAAACACAAACGUCCUCCGUGGCUUUGAAAACUAUAAUGCCCUCCAUAAGCCAAACAACUGUGUAUCUGGGAAAUCUUAGUGGAGUAUCUUGGCAACAAGAACACUUUAAUAAAACACAGAUCUCAUACAGAAAGAGCAUCUUUUGGGCAGAGGAGAUGAAGUGGAUGAGACACCAAGCCCAGUUUGAACAAUACACCGAGUAAGUUUUCUCUACCCUCAAAUUCACAGCAAAGGCACGGAAACAUUAAAAAAAUCAUUAUUAACGCAGCAAUGAUUGAUAAAGCAGGUAUAGAAACUUCAAAAGUACUUUCAUCUAAAUGCUUUGUUUCCAUCCUGUCAGAUUAAGCCCGAGAACUCGGACUGAGUUGGUAACUCCAGGGAAGACACCGAUGCUUCAGAAAGUGGGAACCAUUUCCACACUUACAAAUGGUUCUGUGGGCGUGAAUGCUUCCGCAGCUCCCAGGCCAGGCAAGAUGACCUUUCCAGAACUUGUAAAAUCAAAUCACAUAAAAAUAGAUUCAGACUUUCUUAAAAUGAAACCGCUUGAAAAAGAAGCCCAACAACUGAAAUGCUGGAGGAAAACAGAACGUGCCUGAGCAAAUAUACUUCAAAAUGAAAUUUUAAACUUGGAAUAAUGACAGUAGUUACGUCUCCAUCUCUCUUUCUCUCUCGCUCGCUGCCAUUUCCAGAUCACUCUUAUCAGAGCUCUGUCAGCCCCUAAACUGACAUUUUCCCAUCCUGAUCAUUCCCAGGAUAGAGAAGAAGGAUUUUUUUUUUUUUUUUGCUUGGCUGAUGCAAACAGCAGAUCAUCCUACAGAGAAACGUCAAGGACAGUUCGGAGUCCUAAUCCCUGACCUGGCGGCCCUUUCCUAACUAGCUAUUGACAUUGAACUUAAAAAGCUGCAAAGCUGAGAUGAGAUAAUGAAUUCUGUUUGCUUUUAGCGUGCGGGAGGAGGAGGGUGAGAGAGGAGGAGGAAGGGCUCCGCAUGUGAAGGUUCUGCUGUGCUGCAGAAUGACUUUCAUCUCUUAAUAUCUGAAACUUAUUUAAGGAAAAUAACUUGAGAAAUAAAAGCUUUUUCCCCCUGGAGUGGAGCAUUUUUCUUGCUCUGCUUUUUGUUACAAUCCAACUAUGCAAGAUCCCAUUAACCAAAGGGACCAGCCUGCCCCCGCCCAGGAACUGCCGCGCUGCCGCCCACAGUCCACAGCCACCCUUCUCC
ensembl:lncRNA